UUGACUUUAUGCAUUUAUUCAACCAUUACUAUCAGGAGGAAGAUGUGCUCAGUCCUUGGGCCCAUAAAGUUCAGUUUGUCAAUGAAGUUGGCUCUUCAAAGACACACAACAGACAAAAUCUCAGGGAGACUGAUUGAACUGCCCAGGGGUUGGUAUCUGCCCCCACCCCUGCCCCGUUAGGGUUCCGUUCUAUGCUGUGGCCCUGCUCUUAAUCACUAAGAAAGGGAGACUGGAGCCAUCAAAGAGAGACUUCCCAAAGCCCCUGCUCACUCACGCACUCUGGAAGCCUGCCUGAGAUGCUUGCUGCUGUUCUCACAUGUCUCUGCCAGGUGACUGCAGGCACUGACUCCUGGUUCAUGUGUCUGUGUCUCCCCCACGUGACUUCAGUUUCUGCUCUGUCAUCCAUGCGUCUGGGCACAGGUGCUGACUCCAAGAUCCUCCUGCGGUUUCGGUGUGUUCCUCCCAGGCACUCCCCAUCCACAGCCAUUCUUGCCUCAAGAUCCAUAACCGGUAGCCCUGGAGUCUCCACUUCUCGCAUCCUUAAAUUCAGGAUCCUCUUCAUUGAAAGACUCCCAAGGGUCGGGUGUGGUAGUAUAGGCCUAUAAUCCCAGCACUCAGAGCAGACACAGGUGGAUCUCUGUGGUCUAUGUAUGGAGCUCUAGGCUAGGCAGGACUACAUAGUGAAAGCCUCAGGACUCCUCCUGGUGGCUGCAGUGGCCUUCCUCAGCGUCCUGGUCUUGAUGUCUGUCAGGUGGGCGUGUGAUUUUAGGCCAGGGGACUUGUGAAGACAUCAGCGCCACUUCCUAGACCUGUGGAUCACAUCUUGGGACACUCGGUCUGAUAGCCGUUAGAACUCUGGGACCUCGCCGAAUUGUGGUGCUGUGCGGACAGGAGGCAGUCAAGGAAGCUCUGGUGGACCAAGCUGAGGAAUUCAGCGGGCGGGGCGAGCAAGCUACCUUCGACUGGCUUUUCAAAGGCUAUGGUGAGAGGGUCUUCCCAGGCGUAGCCUUCAGCAGCGGGGAGCGAGCCAAACAGCUAAGGCGCUUCUCCAUCGCCACGCUGCGGGACUUCGGCGUGGGGAAGCGUGGCAUCGAGGAGCGCAUCCAAGAGGAGGCGGGCUUUCUCAUCGAUUCAUUUCGGAAGACGAACGGUAAGUGGAGCACCGCAAGUUCUCAGGACCUUAGCCGAACAGUCUCCAAUGUCAUUAGCUCAAUUGUCUUCGGGGACCGCUUUGACUA
rnacentral:antisense_RNA from 1 species